rnacentral:rRNA from 1 species
GAUGAACGCUGGCGGCGUGCCUAAUACAUGCAAGUCGAGCGAACGGACGAGAAGCUUGCUUCUCUGAUGUUAGCGGCGGACGGGUGAGUAACACGUGGAUAACCUACCUAUAAGACUGGGAUAACUUCGGGAAACCGGAGCUAAUACCGGAUAAUAUUUUGAACCGCAUGGUUCAAAAGUGAAAGACGGUCUUGCUGUCACUUAUAGAUGGAUCCGCGCUGCAUUAGCUAGUUGGUAAGGUAACGGCUUACCAAGGCAACGAUGCAUAGCCGACCUGAGAGGGUGAUCGGGCACACUGGAACUGAGACACGGUCCAGACUCCUACGGGAGGCAGCAGUAGGGAAUCUUCCGCAAUGGGCGAAAGCCUGACGGAGCAACGCCGCGUGAGGGAUGAAGGUCUUCGGAUCGUAAAACUCUGUUAUUAGGGAAGAACAUAUGUGUAAGUAACUGUGCACAUCUUGACGGUACCUAAUCAGAAAGCCACGGCUAACUACGUG